rnacentral:rRNA from 1 species
AUUGAACGCUGGCGGAAUGCUUUACACAUGCAAGUCGAACGGCAGCACGGGUGCUUGCACCUGGUGGCGAGUGGCGAACGGGUGAGUAAUAUAUCGGAACGUAUCCAAUAAUGGGGGAUAACUAGCCGAAAGGUUAGCUAAUACCGCAUACGCCCUGAGGGGGAAAGCUGGGGACCGUAAGACCUAGCGUUGAUGGAGCGGCCGAUAUCUGAUUAGCUAGUUGGUGGGGUAAGAGCCUACCAAGGCGACGAUCAGUAGCUGGUCUGAGAGGACGACCAGCCACCCGGGAACUGAGACACGGUCCAGACUCCUACGGGAGGCAGCAGUGGGGAAUUUUGGACAAUGGGGGCAACCCUGAUCCAGCCAUUCCGCGCGAGUGAAGAAGGCCUUCGGGUUGUAAAGCUCUUUCGCAAGGGAAGAAAACUCGAUCUCUAAUAUAGGUUGAGGCUGACGGUACCUUGAUAAGAAGCACCGGCUAACUACGUGCCAGCAGCCGCCGUAA